ACUCAAAGGAAUUGACGGGGACCCGCACAAGCGGUGGAGCAUGUGGAUUAAUUCGAUACUAACCGAAGAACCUUACCCAGGUUUGACAUUGAAGGAAAGCCCAAGAGAUUGGGCCCUCCCCCACAAGGGGACCUGAAAACAGAUGUUGCAUGGCUGUCGUCAGCUCGUGCCGUGAGGUGUACGGUUAAGUCCGCCAACGAGCGCAACCCUCGUCCUAUGUUGCCAGCGAGUAAAGUCGGGAACUCAUAGGAGACCGCCGGUGUAAGCCGGAGGAAGGUGAGGAUGAUGUCAAGUCAGCAUGGCUCUUACGCCUGGGGCUUCACACAUGCUACAAUGGGCGCAACAAAGGGCAGCAAAACCGCGAGGUAGAGCCAAUCCCAAAAAUACGCCCCCAGUUCAGAUUGCAGUCUGCAACUCGACUGCAUGAAGGCGGAAUCGCUAGUAAACGCAGGUCAGCUAUACUGCGUUGAAUACGUUCCCGGGUCUUGUACACACCGCCCGU
rnacentral:rRNA from 1 species